rnacentral:misc_RNA from 1 species
CAGUAUUUCAGAGCACAUCUUCUUUUGCUCUUGGAUUCCAUUCGUCCCAAUAAAAACAAUCGGAGUGUGGCUCGAAGCAUUCCAAGUGUAAGGGCUGCAUACAAGCCUCUUGACAUUAGUAAUGAGGCUAUGGAUGCAGUCUUUCUGCAGUUACAGAAGGAUAGAAAGCUGGGUUCUGCAUUUGUGAAGACUCGUUUUCCAGCAGUUGACAAGUUCCUGGCUUUUAAUGGGCACAUUACCAUGUUAGAAUUGUGUCAGCCCCCACCUGUU